AAAAAAGGUAAGCUACUAAGAGCGAAUGGUGGAUGCCUUGACUGGUAAAGGCGAUGAAGGACGUACUAGACUGCGAUAAGCUACGGGGAGCUGUCAAGAAGCUUUGAUCCGUAGAUUUCCGAAUGGGGCAACCCAAUGUAUAGAGAUAUACAUUACCUAUAUAGGAGCGAACGAGGGGAAUUGAAACAUCUUAGUACCCUCAGGAAAAGAAAUCAAUAGAGAUUGCGUCAGUAGCGGCGAGCGAAAGCGCAAGAGGGCAAACCCAGUGCUUGCACUGGGGGUUGUAGGACUGCAAUGUGCAAGAGGUAAGUUUAGCAGAACAUUCUGGAAAGUAUAGCCAUAGAGGGUGAUAGUCCCGUAUGCGAAAAACAAACCUUAGCUAGCAGUAUCCUGAGUAGGGCGGGACACGAGAAAUCCUGUCUGAAGCUGGGUCGACCACGAUCCAACCCUAAAUACUAAUACCAGAUCGAUAGUGCACAAGUACCGUGAGGGAAAGGUGAAAAGAACUGAGGUGAUCAGAGUGAAAUAGAACCUGAAACCAUUUGCUUACAAUCAUUCAGAGCCCUAUGUAGCAAUACAGGGUGAUGGACUGCCUUUUGCAUAAUGAGCCUGCGAGUUGUGGUGUCUGGCAAGGUUAAGCAAACGCGAAGCCGUAGCGAAAGCGAGUCUGAAUAGGGCGCUUAGUCAGAUGCUGCAGACCCGAAACGAAGUGAUCUAUCCAUGAGCAAGUUGAAGCUAGUGUAAGAACUAGUGGAGGACUGAACCCAUAGGCGUUGAAAAGCCCCGGGAUGACUUGUGGAUAGGGGUGAAAGGCCAAUCAAACUUCGUGAUAGCUGGUUCUCUCCGAAAUAUAUUUAGGUAUAGCGUUGUGUCGUAAUAUAAGGGGGUAGAGCACUGAAUGGGCUAGGGCAUACACCAAUGUACCAAACCCUAUCAAACUCCGAAUACCUUAUAUGUAAUCACAGCAGUCAGGCGGCGAGUGAUAAAAUCCGUCGUCAAGAGGGAAACAACCCAGACUACCAGCUAAGGUCCCUAAAUCUUACUUAAGUGGAAAACGAUGUGAAGUUACUUAAACAACCAGGAGGUUGGCUUAGAAGCAGCCAUCCUUUAAAGAAAGCGUAAUAGCUCACUGGUCUAGUGAUUUUGCGCGGAAAAUAUAACGGGGCUAAAGU
rnacentral:rRNA from 1 species